AUAGGCGGCCGCUGAUUGGUCGAGACGGUCAGCAUGGCGGAAGCUUGCUAAAGCGGGACGCUGAUUGGCUCGUCUCUUCAAACUGAAACGAUGACGUGUUUGUCUGGCUGUUUGAAAUUAACUUGCGGCGCUGUGUGGUGUGUGAUCACAUUGAAUGCUUGUUGUUAGGGGGUUUUUGUAUUUUGUAUGGAUUAUGAGCGGUUUUCAGUUUCAUUCUUUAUUAACUUUAGAUCUGUAAAGUCAGCAUGUCUUUUAGAUAACAACAACCAUGAAUAUGAUCUCAGCUGUAUCUUUACCGGUUUAGAAAAAUAUCGUACGCUUUCGUAGAUAUAUCUGGACAAGGCAUCAAUAAUAGAGUUUAAUAUUAUUGUUAACAUGAUUAAAACCUCAGCGGUUACUGACAAAAGGAGACGCAAAAACUGGUAUUAAUAAAACGUGUAUUUCCUUGCAUGUUUCAAAAUGUACAGAAAAAAAAUAAUUUACAUGUUUUUUUCACUGAGUUUUCGUUAAAAAUCAGUCUAAACAGUCAGACAAAGUUCACGGAGGGCUGAAUAUACGGGGAUGCGGCAGCCUAGUGUGCUCUGAUCACGGCAGGAGGUCAAGCAGAGUUUGGAGGAAUCACUCGCACUGCAGCAGCUCGGAUCAGAGCGUGGCCUGAUGCAGAACCUCAGGAGAGGUCACGCGACAAUGACCUUCCACACCGCAGUCCCUGGAUGCAUUCUCCUAUGUCAACGUUGAUGUUAAUACAUUAUUGAGGAUAUCUGAAAGGCAGGGGGAUGGAAGGUCCGUUAAUCAAACAUUUUCAUGACUCCCAGCUAGUACCAACUUUUAAUUACUGACAGCCCAGGCAAAAUAUUUUGGUCAUUGUAGUGAAAGAAUUCAUUACCAGAGGGUAGAAUACAACACAAGCUGUGGAAUAGCUGCAGGACUCAAAUGAUGCUUUUGAAUCUGCAUCGGUUUCAUUCUGUGUUAUAAAGGUACAACAGCUCUAAGGUAAAAUGAUGUUCACAAACAACAAUUAGUAAUGUUAUGGCGAAACUGUUAAAUUUGUUCCUUUUCAGCUCUCAAAAAGUAUGAUUCUAAUACAAUAUGACCACCCUGUGGCACUUUUUGUUGUCCACAAUGGAAAAAUUAGCAGUUAGCAGAAGUGACUGUGAAUAUGAACUUCUGCUGUCUGUGAUCCAGACAACCAGCCAUUAAUUCUUUAUUAGGAAGACAUGAAAAUAUGAAUGUAUGUUCAUGACAGCGCUACAUGGCUAUAGAUCAGAAUGCAGACCUUCUGGGAAGACAUUACAAAACCGCAAGACCAAAAGACUCUCUCUUAAAUUCAUGAUCCGCAUUUCUAAGAUCAGCAAUCUUGUCAAAUCCUGAAUACAGUUGCUCUCACCUACAUAUGUGUCUGCGUGUCAUGGAGAGUAAGAUUGGGUAGGCGAGAAGAGAAUUUCCCCACAGGGAUCAAUAAAGUAUCAUUAUAAUUGUUCUGCCUUAAUUUUUAUCCCAUAUCUCACCUUAAAAGUAUUAUUUGGAUUUUAAUUGAAUCAGAAUACUAAUGUUAUGAAUUGAAACUGGUCAAAGCAUGCAAUUUAAAAUCAAUGAUAAAUGAAAAAACACCUAAAUAAAUACAACCCCAUGCAUUUCCAAAAAGGUUGGCAUACUGUGCAAAGUAUAAAUAAAAACAAUGCAGUCAUUUGGAAAUCAUAUAAACCCAUAUUUAA